CCCCUUUCUCAACAUCCUCUCCAACACAUGUUGUUUACUAUUUUGUUAAUUUUGGCCAUUCUAACUGGUGUAAGGUGAUAUCUCAAUGCGGUUUUGAUUUGAAUACCCCUGAUGGCUAAUGAUUAACAUUUUUUCAUGUGUUGGCCAUUUGGAUAUCUUCU